rnacentral:rRNA from 1 species
AGCAGCCGCGGUAAUUCCAGCUCCAAUAGCGUAUAUUAAAGUUGUUGCAGUUAAAAAGCUCGUAGUUGAAUUUCGAGACCAAAUUGUUGGUCGUGCCUUGGUACGUACUGGCAAUAUUGGUUUCUCCCUUCUGACGAACCAAGAUGUCAUUAAUUUGGUGUCUUGGGGAAUCAGGACUGUUACUUUGAAAAAAAUUAGAGUGUUUAAAGCAGGCUCGCGCUUGAAUACAUUAGCAUGGAAUAAUGAAAUAGGACGUUUGAUUCUAUUUUGUUGGUUUCUAGGAUCGACGUAAUGAUUAAUAGGGAUAGUUGGGGGCAUUAGUAUUCAAUUGUCAGAGGUGAAAUUCUUGGAUUUAUUGAAGACUAACUACUGCGAAAGCAUUUGCCAAGGAUGUUUUCAUUAAUCAAGAACGAAAGUUAGGGGAUCGAAGACGAUCAGAUACCGUCGUAG